rnacentral:lncRNA from 1 species
GAGAGGAGGGGGAGGGGGAGGGGAGGAGGAGGAGCAGGCCAGGGAAGCAGAGGUUAGCACAAUUUUCAGUUUCAGUUAAUCAAACUAUAUUGACUAAUAAUUGUGUCCUAAGGGUACAAGCGGAACAUCCCUAAAACCAUAAACUCUAAUGCAAAAUGCUAAAAACCUAAAACCUAAAAAAUUUUGACUCCUGCUAUCCAUGGAAAAUUCCACACCACACAUAACAUUAUUAAGAAUAUUAUAAAAUUUCCUUCUGGCUGUCUGUUUAAGGUGCAUAUGAAACACAGUUGAGCUUUGUGUUCAGAGCCGAGUCCGCUCUCCAGAAAUCAUCAUUGUGUGCAAAUGACCUCCAGAGGGGAGCAGCUCCAGACCAGAAGCACUUCGGAUGUGAGUCUUGGGGGAGCUACUUUUGUGACCCACGGGACAGUCGCCGGCACUCGCUUUGUGGCUGAAUGGGAGAGACAGGCCAGGGCUUGUUUCCAGGCUAAAUAUGCCACUUGACCAAGUCACUUAACUCUGGGGUUGUGUUUCCUUAUCCAGGGAGCAACUGGAUUAAACUUGAUACUAUCUAUGUUUCUAUCUAUUUCUGAUUAGCGCUUUAAUUUCCUAGAAAAAACUUUCACGAAUCUUGCUGGAUAAAAGCACUCUUUGUUCUGGGAUAUUGCUGGUGGCCUCACCUUGUUCCCACUGGCGGCUGCCACGCCUGUCACCCAGCUCACAUUACUCUGCAGUCCUAGUUUCUGAGGACACCUGCAGCUGGCGAGGGGUUCUCCAUUCUUCAGCACAUCCGGCUGUCAUAGUUCCUCUGUGAUGAAACUGAAACAGAGCAGAAGUUACCUUGACCCCUACUCUACAGACGGAGAAAUCCAGAGAGAACUGCAGGGAACUCGUUCCUACACACGUGAUCUCCGCAUCAGCAGCCGAGUAGACAGAGAAGUGCAACCAAAGCAAUUUCUGUCGGUGUCUGAGACCAUGCGGAGCUGCCGGCUCAGGUCCAGGACGCCGAGGUAACCGUGAUCGUAACAUCUUAGCGGACUGGCGGGGCUUGGAGGUGGCCGCCCGGCGCCGGGAGGGGCGGGGUCGACGGCGGGGCGGGGAGCCCCUUAUCUGCACGUCUGGGCGAACGGGCUCCCCGCUGGCAGGGGCCCAGACAGAGCGGAGGACAGGGACGCAGGGGCAGUAUCGCCUCGGUACACUGAGGGACGCAGAAGUGGAGAGAGCGGGAGAGGUGCGGGGCCAGAGGAGCGACCAGGAGAGGGAGGGAGGCGGGGAGCAGGGCCCCCUGCACCAAGCUCCGUCCCCAACCCUUCUAAGAUUUUCAUUUUGAGACAAGGGCUAGCUCAGUCGCCCGGCUGGGCUGGAACUUAGAACCUCCUGCCUCAGCCUCCCAGAGUGCUGGAGGACAGGCACUCGCCGCCGUGCCGGGCAG